rnacentral:lncRNA from 1 species
GGGUGAGAUCUAAAUAAUAAAAGAGCUCGUAUAAUUUUGGUGCACAAAAUUGCAUGUUUAUUGUUCUAUGGAUUAAUUACUGAAAUUGUACAUUGUGCAUUGAUAAUUGAUCUGACAAUAGGAGCAUGUUUUAGGAAUUAUACAAAGUUCUUUAUAUUUGUUGAGUAAUUCCUUGAAUUCCAACACAUUGAUUGCUUGUGUACAUUGUUUUCAGUUGUGCAAGUUAGGAUAAUUGUUUUUCAUUCUGUAAUCUGCAUUCCUUAAAUCAGUUAGGAAGUUUCUUGGUUUUGUUUUUGUAAUCAUAUAUUGAGGUGUCUGUUAUGGCUUCCAGUAGUAGCCACCCCUUUUCAGAACCUAUGAUGGGUUCGAAAGUCGAACUAUCACAAUUCGAUGGAAAGGGGGAUUACUCGAUUUGGAAGCAGAAAAUGAGGGCCAUAUUGGUCCAACAGAGGGUUGCUAAAGCCGUGGACGACCCUGACAAAUAUUCUGAUGAACUUAAAGCCAAACCAGAUGAGAUUCUUGAAAUGAAUGAAAUAGCUUAUAGUUCGAUUAUCCUGCACUUAUCUGAUAAUAUUGUAAGACAAGUAAAAGAAUCCAAAACUGCUAGAGAUCUUUG